UUCCUACGGAAAACAAAACCAGGUGGCACCUUACUUGGUCCUCUGCGAACCAGCUCAGUCCGAAUCCUGUCAGUCAGAUGUGAGGGCCAGCAUUUCUAUCAGACAGCAUAUUGGCAUAUUACUCAAAACACAUAGCAGUGAAAAAACAUAGUCCUACUCAUAAAUUAUCAGAAAUAUUAAAAUUACAUUAAAUUGCAGUUGUCCAGUUGUCUUGCAGCCUACACACACACACACACACACACACACACACGAUAUGCACACCUGAAAGCUCAUGCUGGGGAGAAGUAGAGGCAAAGAGGUCUUCAUCCUCAAUAUCAGAUAUUUGUGGAGACAUAUGUGUAGCGGAGGAGGUGGUUGUCUCAUCCUGACCAGUGGCAGAGGAUGCUCCAAAAUAUUUUAGAAGUGCCCCUGAAAUUGCAAUUGAAUUGCAUUUGAAAUCAAAAGACCAUAGGAUAAUAAUUUAUAAAGCUAAA